GCUGGGGGAGUCAAUAUAAAGGCUAAGGAAUAAAUUAAGCACAGAAGCAAGAAAGAGAAAAAAGUGAAUUAACCUACUUCGAGAAAAGAUCCCAGAGAGUCUCAGACCCGCAGCUCAGGAUCCGCAAGGAUAAUCCUUUGGAUGACCUCGGACAGAAUGCAUCCUUCGACCAGCCUCUUUAUUAAAUCUCUGUUGUUGAAGGGAUUUUCCCUCAGGUCUUCCUCGGAGCCAUCGGCCCCCUCGAUGGCAGCCUUGAGACUGUGGCUCUUCCAG
rnacentral:lncRNA from 1 species